rnacentral:rRNA from 1 species
GGAGUUAGCCGGUGCUUCUUCUGCGAGUAACGUCACAGAUGUAAGGUAUUAACUUACACCCUUUCCUCCUCGCUGAAAGUGCUUUACAACCCGAAGGCCUUCUUCACACACGCGGCAUGGCUGCAUCAGGGUUUCCCCCAUUGUGCAAUAUUCCCCACUGCUGCCUCCCGUAGGAGUCUGGGCCGUGUCUCAGUACCAGUGUGGCUGAUCAUCCUCUCAGACCAGCUAGGGAUCGUCGCCUAGGUGAGCCUUUACCUCACCUACUAGCUAAUCCCACCUGGGCUUAUCCAUCAGCGCAAGGCCCGAAGGUCCCCUGCUUUCCCCCGUAGGGCGUAUGCGGUAUUAGCAGUCGUUUCCAACUGUUAUCCCCCACAAAUGGGCAAAUUCCCAGGCAUUACUCACCCGUCCGCCGCUCGUCAUCUUCAAAAGCAAGCUUUUGAAAUGUUACCGCUCGACUUGCAUGUGUUAGGCCUGCCGCCAGCGUUCAAUCUGAGCCAGAAUCAAACUCUGA